rnacentral:rRNA from 1 species
AGAGUUUGAUCCUGGCUCAGAGUGAACGCUAGCGGCGCGCCUAACACAUGCAAGUCGCGUGGGUUUAGACCCACGGCAAACGGCUGCGUAACACGUUGGAACCUUCCCCGGACUCAGGGAUAUCCCUCCGAAAGGAGGAGUAAUACCGGAUGGUCUCCCGCGCAAGCGGUGAGUAAAGAUUUAUCGGUCCGGGAGGGGCCUGCGGCCUAUCAGCUUGUUGGUGAGGUAACGGCUCACCAAGGCAAUGACGGGUAGCUGGUCUGAGAGGACGACCAGCCAGAAUGGAACUGCGACACGGUCCAUACUCCUACGGGAGGCAGCAGUGAGGAAUCUUCCGCAAUGGACGAAAGUCUGACGGAGCGACGCCGCGUGGUGGAUGAAGGCCUUUACUGGUCGUAAACACCUGUUCUGAGGGACGAAAUUUUGACGGUACCUCAGAGAAAGU